UGUUAACUUAACCUCAGUGAGCUCUGUCUGAAGUUGUAUUCUGAUCUGAUCAACUGCAGCAAGAUGAAGGUUGUUCCAUUAAUCUUCUCCGUUCUUCUUCUCAUCAACUCAACCCAAUCCUUCUUUUUCUUCCAGCAAUGCCUUACCAGAGGAGCAGCAUGUUCGCUUCCAACUGCUACUACUCCUAUGAGUGCUCAGUGCUGUCAGAACUUAAACCUAGUUUGUGUUGACCCCAACCCACCAAAUAGACCUAAUGGUAGGAUGUUGAACAAUACAGAAUUCAGAGAUAUACCUCGAGUGUGCAGAUCUUAUCCUUAACUUUUAUCAAAAUGUUUAUAAAGAAUAAUAAACUUUUAAAAUGAAAAUUAA